rnacentral:rRNA from 1 species
CCUACGGGAGGCUGCAGUGGGGAAUAUUGCACAAUGGGGGAAACCCUGAUGCAGCGACGCCGCGUGAGUGCAGAAGUAUUUCGGUACGUAAAGCUCUAUCAGCAGGGAAGAAAAUGACGGUCCCUGACUAAGAAGCCCCGGCUAACUACGUGCCAGCAGCCGCGGUAAUACGUAGGGGGCAAGCGUUAUCCGGAUUUACUGGGUGUAAAGGGAGCGUAGACGGCAGCGCAAGUCUGAAGUGAAAUCCCAGGGCUUAACCAUGGAACUGCUUUGGAAACUGUGCAGCUGGAGUGCAGGAGAGGUAAGCGGAAUUCCUAGUGUAGCGGUGAAAUGCGUAGAUAUUAGGAGGAACACCAGUGGCGAAGGCGGCUUACUGGACUGUAACUGACGUUGAGGCUCGAAAGCGUGGGGAGCAAACAGGAUUAGAUACCCCUGUAGUC